CCUGUGGCACUGUUGAACUGUUCGUCCCUUGUCUCCGCAUCUCUGAUCUAACAAACACAAGUUGAGCGUGAGAAGUCCCCAUGAGACACCAGAGUGGCCGCAGGAGCAAGCUGAGUCCUCACCUGGGAAGGGCAGUCUACAUCAGAUUUCAAGAACUGUGUGCAGGCACCCGCUCCCCUCACUUUUGGUACUCCUAAGCAAGACUUUGCACCACCUGUUUGGUGCGAAAGGUCUUCGUGGUGUCAAUAAGAUCACCUAGUCAGCUCCUGGACUUUGUUCAACCCGCCCCUCAAGGGCUCUUGGACGGCAUUAAUACUUUGGAGAGGAGUCCAGCCUCGUUCAGCUCUGCCACACCCCUGAUUCCUCCUACAGGUCCUGAAAUUUUCAAACCUGCAUUGACUACAGGACUAAGAUUUUAUGAUGGAAAAUAUCUCUGUAAAAGCAGAGCCGCAGAUUUUUGAAGAUGUGGCUAUGUACUUCACAGAGCAGGAACUGGCCAGCUUGACACUGGAUCAGAAGGCCCUGUACAAGGAUGUGGUGCUUGAGAACUUCGCACAUGUGGCCUUUCUGGGGUACAUUUCAAAACUAAGAAAAUAUACUCAACUGGCCGAAGCAGAGGCAUCCAGGGUGAAGGCGUUCCUCUAAGUCAGGUGUGCGGGAGACAGGGAUAAAGGAAGGGGAUGUCAGAGCCAUGUCACUGCUGUCAAGUGUGGGUUUUUCUGUAGCCAUGCACAUUGCCAUCCAAGUAGAUGCAAUGCUUUUAGUUCAUUAAAGUUGUUCAUUAUGAGGUGCAAAGCA